AUGCUUCUCAAGCAGGGCCACCUGGAGCCAGUGUUCAAGGCCCAUGUCCAGUCAACUUUGAAUGUCUCCAAGCAUGGAGAAUCUCCAGCCUCUCUGGACAAUGUUUCAGUCACUGGCCAGGUGGCCUUGGAGCAAUACAGCAGGGAACUGGCCGUUCGAGAAGGAGAUGGGGUCACGUUCCAGUGCAGCAUGAGUGGAGACAGUAUGAGCAGCUACUACAUGUUGUGGUACCGGCAGGGGCCGUGUGGCUCUCUCGACUGGAUUUAUGAGGAAGGUUUCCUGGGUUGUGUGAAUUAUGGGGGUGGAGAAGGAUACAAGCUGACAUUAGGAAAAGGAACCUUGCUGGUGAUCAAGCCAGAUAUUACUCCAUCUCCUUCAGCCUACAGGCUGAUCUCUAAAGAUGAUGAGGAUUUGGAAAUGUGCCUUAUCACAGAUUACUCCCCUGAAAGGCUUACUCUUAACUCAGCUGAUAAGCAGACAAAUGCUAUUGUGGAGGUGGCAACUUCUGAGAACAAACAAGAAGCGAGCUACCUGUCAACGUACUGGGCCAAGAAAGAUGAAAUGCAGUGUGGUGCAAAUCAUGAGGGCUUUGGAGAACUGGAGGGCGAGGAUCCUGAAAGUGGUGCCAGCGCUGUCUGUGUUACAGGGGUGUCUCAGCACUUCAGGACAGAUGGAAACCUGAACAUGCUGUCUUUAUCACAGCUGGGCCUGAAAAUAAUUUUAAUGAAAGGAAUAAUUUUUAAUGUGCUGAUAACGAUGCUUAUGUGGAAAAAAAAUGCCUAG